AGUUUUAUAGUUUAAAAAAAAUAUUAAUUUUGUAAAUUAAAGUUAUAUCUUAUAUUAAAACUA
rnacentral:tRNA from 1 species